rnacentral:lncRNA from 1 species
CCUCCAUCUUCAUCUCAAUCCCAUUCUAUCCCCCAUCCAUUUCAUUGACCUAUGAUAUCUCUAUAUCCUAAGGCUAGUUGACUGCAAAAUCAACAUAAGUAUGGAUGAGAUUAGGUCCACCAUUUUGCCAUUUCUUUUUGUGUGUGGUAUGUUUUAGGAUCAUGGUUCAUUAUACCAUGUCUCUAACAUGCAUUAACAUCAAAAUUUUAUUGCUCGGCCUCAAAUAGUUGUGACUUCUACAUAAGCCCAAUUACAAUUGUUUAAUAUAGCGCUAAAUUUUGACACAAAAAAUGCAUAGCAUUCUAGUAAGUGAGAUUGUAAGUCUCCCCUCUUUCAAGCUAUUGUAUGGAAACUUGACCUUUUUUUCUUCCUUUGGAAGAUGUCUUAGUUCAAGGAUCCCUUGUUAAUAGUGGGUUCAGUGUUCUCCAAAGAAUGACAUAAAACAUUAAAGCAAAAGCACUACUAACUUCUAAUCAACUAACAACUAACAUUUAAUUUCAAGUCAUUUACUUUUAUGCACUUUAAAUUUAAGUCUUUAUUCAUUUUCCUUUAUUCAUACCAUUUUACUUGUUUAUUUCAAUGCCAUUUUCACUUUGCUCACUUGAGCCAUACUAUGUGAUUAUAUUGUGAUUGUAUAUACUUGUUUGAGUUUGUGAUCUUUUGACCUUAAUGUACACAAUAACAACAAAAACCUUAAAAGACAUUUGUGUGGACUGUUGGGUUUGAUCUGAGACAUUGGACUUAGAAUUAGGCAACACUUCCUAUGCAAAAGGACUUGGCCAAUGCCAACUUUAAUGAAACCAAGUACCUAUGAAGUAAAUUUUCAUCUGAUGCAAAUAAUGAAGAUCCCUUUGAUUUCAUCUGCUACAUGGUCUUGAUGAAGUUGUUACUUUAAACUUGUGCCUAAUGUGUUAUUCUGAGCCAAUAAAUGAGUAGUUCAUCUGAUACAUGGAAGAUCAUGGAGUUGCUAGCUUGGAUUUGGCUAUAUUUAUUUGAUUCCUUUCUCUUCACCUUGCUAUUUGUGUAUUGAUAUUGCUUGAUUCUAAAGUCCAAGGGGAAAUUGGGUUUCUAUAUGACAUUCUUGUCUAUUGGAUUGCAUCCCAUUAGUCAGAUCUUUUAAACUCUCAACUUUUAAAUUUUUGCUUAGGAUUAGUCUCUUCAUCUCCUUCCCAUUUAUUUAAUUUCAAAUCUCUCCCUCCUUUUAAAAUAUUCUUUGCUUGUGAUUUCUAAACUUAGACUUUAUUGCAAAUUAGAAACUUUAGCCUUAUGCGAUUGCAUUUUUUUAAACUCUCUUUCUUAAUCAAACUUGUAAAUGAACUUAAUCAUAUUUGACUUAAAAUUUCAAAAGAUAAAAAUGAACUAACACUCAUUCAAACCUUUUUAGGCCCUUUGUUCCUUUCUUAAACUUAAAUUUUUGUUAAAAGUAACUCACUCACUUUGAGAUCGAUACCAUAAACUACGAGGUUUUGAUCCCUCAUUUUUAUGUUGGUACGUAGGCACAAGUAUGAAGGUCUUGUCAAACACAAAAAUAUAAUUAAUGAAUUAUUAUCUCAUCCUCACACUCUAUUUAUUGCAAACAUCAUUUAUACCAAACACAUAUGCACACAAGAAAGGGCUCCCUAGGAGUACCUAGGACAAUUUGAUGAUGUGAAUGUUAUAGUUCCUAUAUUCAAAACCCCAGAGAGAGUGGUAAUUCAAUUUGAUGGAUGAAGGUAUGAUACAUAUUUUCCAAUCCCGUUACUUCGGUGAUGAUGUGAAUGUUAUAGUUCCUAUAUUCAAGACCCCAGAGAGAGUGGUAAUUCAAUUUGAUAGCAACAACAGUAACAACAAUAACAAAUCGGUAUCAUCGUCAAUAAUAUGGUUAGCUGGUCCAGUCCCAUAUGCAUCCGAUAGAGCUGUUCCAUACCAGUAUAAUGCUACUAUGUUAGAGAAUGGUGAAGAGGUUUCGUUGCCUACGACCAGUUCUGUUGUGAGCAUUGCUGAUGUGACGAAGAUGACCCGUAGUGGUCGAGUUUUUGGGCCUGUUUUCCCGAAGGAUGUAGAGGAUGUCAGUAAGAUGGUAGAAGUGCUUGUGGUGAAUCUGGUUAGUGCUCCAAGAUGUCAGUCUGGUGAAUCCAGCAGUUUGAAGCCUAACGAUGAUGAUGAGGUACUCCGUUUAACCAAGAAGAGCAAAUUUAAUGUGGUGGAGCAGCUGCUCCAGACUCCCUCCAACAUUUCAGUGUUGUCUCUGCUCAUGAACUCUAAAGCGCAUAGAGAAGUGUCGUACCCCAAUUUUGUCCGGACAUAUUUAAUAAAAUUUAUUUCAUUUUUGCAUCAUACGCAUAACAUGACACACAUUUGCAUCAUGAAUAAAUGCCUGAAAUGUCAGUCAAAACGGAUUUAUUUGAGAAUACAGAAAAAAUCAGUUGAAUCGUUAAAAUUUGAGAAAAGCCUGUAUUUUUAAUAAGUAGGUUUUGUGCUGACAAUUUUAAAUGUGACUGGUUUAUUUUUUUUUUCUCGAAUUAAAUUUGUACUCAAUUUCUAUUUUUUAACUGGUCGAAUAUUUAGAUUUUAGUUAGUUUUAAAUAUUAGCUAUUUUAAUUAAAUGUUAGUUGUUCUUUUUAGUUACUUAAUUAAGUUAGUUAGUUUUUUUUUUUUAAAUAUUAAUUAGUUUUUAGUUAGUUUUUAUUUUAUUGUACUAUUUUAAUUAAUUUUUAAAUAUUAGUUAGAGCUUUUAAAAUAUUAAUUAGUUUUUUAUUAGUUAAUUUUCUUAUGUAAAUAUUAGUUAGUUUAGAGAUUAUUAGUUAGAUUUUAAAAAAAAAAUGAUAUUUAGAGUUUAAAGAUAUUAAUUAGUCUUUUUUAGUAUUAAUUAAUUUUUUUUUUUUGAUUUAUUAUAAAUAAUAGUUAUGAAAAUAUAUAUAUUUAUUUGCAUUGGAUACUCUAAUCCAUAAAAAACAAAAUUAAAAAAAAUCUCCCAACGUCUCUCAUCAUCCUCUCCAUCCACUCCCAACAGACCCUGCUCCACUACUCUGCUCUCUCUCGUACCAGAAGAAAAAGACAAAAAAAGAAAAAAUAAAUAAUAGAACUCUCUCACUCACGCUUCCACACUCCAUUCACUCUCUAAAAAAAAUCACUCUCAUUUUGCUCAGAAAAAAUCUCAGCACACAAACCCUCUCCGCCUCUCUCAGUGCCUCAUCAUCUUCAUCACUCCCACUCUCACGCACCACCGCCAACACCCUCUUCCUCUCACGCACAACCCUCACAAACCCUUACUCCAUCGUCUACUUCACCGCAAGUUCAUCUCCCUCAAACCCAUCAGCGAAACCCCUCAACCUCGUCACUCUCACGAAACCCCAAGUCGCAACAUCCAACCCCAAACCCUUUCACCGCCGCCAUGCAUUCUUCCGCUUUCAUAACCUUCAACAUCUCACACUCUAUCACCAUCAAACUCUUCAUCCACCAUUCAUCCUAAACCUUCCAUCGCUCAUCCCCAAACCCCUGAAACCAACACCCUUCGUCAAAACCCUUAUCGCUUCCGCCGAUUCCGCCACCAUCAAAAUCAUCACUGCAGAUUUCGCUCUUCACCGAAACCACCCUUCACGCGAUCACUACCACAAAACCUCUGCCAUCACAAUCGCACAACCCAACCUCACCGUCUUCAGCCUCCUUCCAUCUUCAUUACAAACCCUCGGUUCGUCCCCAAAUCGGUGAAACCCCAAAACCCACGAAUCCACAGCUUCCACCCGUAACUCACUAUCCCGAUGCAUUUUCCUUUAUGUUCCUCAAACACUCCUUUAAAACAAACCCUAUGUCUCGUUUAAAAUUGCUGUUUAAGGUUGGUUGCUGUUAAGUGUUUGGAGUUUUGCAGGGAACUUCAGAGUAAUAGCGACUUCCAGAACCAAACAGAGGGAGAAUCCAGAAGGCAGCAGGUUUAUCAUUCCGGUUAAGACGAUGUUGCAAGCAGCUGCGGAUUGCGUUAUGCCUUGAUUUAGUGUUGUUUGAUUUUCGGUAAUUUCAUCUUUGGCUUGAGUUGAAUCUGAGUUUUAGAUUGUUGCUGUUUAUUGUUUUGUUUUUAUUCUGGCAUGUGGUUAUGAUAGGUAGUAAGUACAUCGGGUUUAGAUUGUGUAGUUUCUGCUGCUUAUUGAUUUUGGGCUGAAUAUGGGUUUAAAUUUUACAGUUUAGCUGCUUACUGUUUUGAUAUUCUGGACUAAAAAUGGGGUUAAAUUUCAUAGUUUUUCCUAAGAAAUCGAUACGCUGGAUGAAUGUCGACUGUUUGAUGUUCAUGGAUUUUACCAUUUCUAUUUUCGAAUGAUUAAAUCGGCACAAGUAAAUUUUUCCGACUCUUGGGUUAACUUGGAUUAAAUGGAAUUGGGUUAAGGAUAAUGUUUUGUUCGGAGUUUUCUAUUCUUUCAUUCUGUAAUUAAUUUGUACAUCAUAUAGAUAGUCCCGAGUUACUCCUACUCUACCUUUGUGAAAAUAAUGUUGAAUGGCGGUUUGGAUUCCGUUGCAAUUAAAUCGAAUUCUUAUGCGGAUUUGACAAUCUCAUGUCUUUACGCCGUCCGAGUUUCAUGACGUUAAUCGAAUAAACCGGUUUCGAGCACAUUGCGACUUGUUGGAUUUGAUUAUUUUGUACUCACUUUGGUCAAUUACCCCAAGUUUUUUCAUUCCAAAUCAAGAUUAAUUGAUUAGUUAAUGUUUUUUUUUUUAUAA